CUCGGACGCUACUGCUAUAUCGAGAUAGUUCGCAGCGGUGAAAGCUCAGCUUGCUGGGUGGCAUCAGUGGCGAACGGGUGAUUAACACGUGAGCAAUCUGCCCCUGACUCUGGGAUAAGCGCUGGAAACGGCGUCUAAUACUGGAUACGAACCGUGGAGGCAUCUUCAACGGUUGGAAAGAUUUUUUGGUCAGGGAUGAGCUCGCGGCCUAUCAGCUUGUUGGUGAGGUAAUGGCUCACCAAGGCGUCGACGGGUAGCCGGCCUGAGAGGGUGACCGGCCACACUGGGACUGAGACACGGCCCAGACUCCUACGGGAGGCAGCAGUGGGGAAUAUUGCACAAUGGGCGAAAGCCUGAUGCAGCAACGCCGCGUGAGGGAUGACGGCCUUCGGGUUGUAAACCUCUUUUAGCAGGGAAGAAGCGAAAGUGACGGUACCUGCAGAAAAAGCGCCGGCUAACUACGUGCCAGCAGCCGCGGUAAUACGUAGGGCGCAAGCCGUUAUCCGGAAUUAUUGGGCGUAAAGAGCUCGUAGGCGGUUUGUCGCGUCUGCUGUGAAAUCCCGAGGCUCAACUUCGGGUCUGCAGUGGGUACGGGCAGACUAGAGUGCGGGUAGGGGAGAUUGGAAUUCCUGGUGUACCGGUGGAAUGCGCAGAUAUCAGGAGGAACACCGAUGGCAAAGCAGAUCUCUGGGCCGUAACUGACCCUGAGGAGCGAAAGGGUGGGGAGCAAACGGCUUAGAUACCCUGGUAGUCCACCCCGUAAACGUUGGGAACUAGUUGUGGAGUUCACUUCCAACGGGAUUCCGUGAACGCAGCUAACGCAUUAAGUUU
rnacentral:rRNA from 1 species